GUUUGUGGAAACACCACGUAAAUUUAUUACUGCACUAUUUAUUACUGUAUUAUUUAUUAAUUUAUUUUGCAGUAAUAAAUUUACGUGGUGUUUCCACAAACAAAACUAU